UAGAAGCAAAAUUUGGAGUAAGAUAAUGAGGAAGCAGAAGAGCGUGACGACUGGAAGGAAGUAGAAGAGGAAGAGGAAGAGGAAGAGGAAGUGAUUGAAAGAGGAGGAGAAAGAGGAGAUUGAGAAGAUUGACGUGCGAGAAAAAAAUGUGUAAAGGCAACAUAAAAAAAAAUUAAAGGGAUGAAAAAAAAGAUUCAAAGCAAAAUUUGGAGUACGAUAAUGAGAAGGAAGAGCGUGAGGUCUGGAAGAAAGUAGACGAGGAAGAGGAAGUGAUUGAAAGAGGAGGAGAAAGAGGAGAUUGAGAAGGCAGA